rnacentral:rRNA from 1 species
UGAGUAACACGUGGGCAAUCUGCCCUUCACUCUGGGACAAGCCCUGGAAACGGGGUCUAAUACCGGAUAUCACUCCUGCAGGCAUCUGCGGGGGUCGAAAGCUCCGGCGGUGAAGGAUGAGCCCGCGGCCUAUCAGCUUGUUGGUGAGGUAGUGGCUCACCAAGGCGACGACGGGUAGCCGGCCUGAGAGGGCGACCGGCCACACUGGGACUGAGACACGGCCCAGACUCCUACGGGAGGCAGCAGUGGGGAAUAUUGCACAAUGGGCGAAAGCCUGAUGCAGCGACGCCGCGUGAGGGAUGACGGCCUUCGGGUUGUAAACCUCUUUCAGCAGGGAAGAAGCGAAAGUGACGGUACCUGCAGAAG